CUUUACUACUCCAUGCCCAGCUCCUAGGUUUCUCUAGCUCCAGGCAGCAAAACUUCCAGUGAAAGACUUCAUAUUGAGAAUAUAUCUCAGUGGCAUACAACCUCCUGAGUCUUCUGGAUUUCAGAAAGAAAAUGUUAAAGGACUGAGGUGGAGUGGACACUGCUCAAAAGAGGUGUCAAAAUUUCUGUCAGGGCAUGUUCUCUCCACAGCUGCUGGUAAUGUUUUCCUAUCCCCACAUGCUACUGGGCUGCCUGCUGGAUCUGCUGAGGUCCUGGGAGCAAGCUGAGGCUCAUCCCUCUCUUGACCACAGACAUCGUCCAAAGAUGAAAACACCACUAAUGGAACAACGAUCGCUGCUUGUGUCUGCACAGCCAGCGUGCUUUCAUCAGCACUCUGUCCAAGGCAAACGUCUUUGGAGUCUGUAGAA